rnacentral:rRNA from 1 species
AGAGUUUGAUCAUGGCUCAGAGCGAACGCUGGCGGCGUACUUAACACAUGCAAGUCGAACGGGGAGUCCGCGGGUAGCAAUACUCGCGGGCUUCUAGUGGCGCACGGGUGAGUAACACGUGAGUGACCUACCCUUGGGUCCGGGAUACCCCUUCGAAAGGAGGGCUAAUACCGGGUACGUUCUUCUGGCUGCGAGGCUGGGAGAGGACAGGCCGUGGCAACACGGUCGCCGAAGGAGGGGCUCGCGGCCUAUCAGCUAGUUGGCGGGGUAAUGGCCCACCAAGGCGAUGACGGGUAGCUGGUUUGAGAGGACGACCAGCCACACGGGGACUGAGACACGGCCCCGACUCCUACGGGAGGCAGCAGUGGGGAAUUUUCCGCAAUGGGCGCAAGCCUGACGGAGUGACGCCGCGUGGGGGACGAAGGCCUUCGGGUCGUAAACCCCUGUCAGAGGGAAAGAAGGGGCGGGGAGUGAACUCCUCGUUCUGACGGUACCCUCAGAGGAAGCCCCGGCCAACUCUGUGCCAGCAGCCGCGGUAAGACAGAGGGGGCAAGCGUUGCUCGGAAUCACUGGGCGUAAAGGGCGCGUAGGCGGGAGGUCAAGUCGGUCGUGAAAUCUCCGGGCUCAACCCGGAGGAGUCGGCCGAAAC